AUGUUCAUUCCCUUAAGGGCAGAAAUCCACCGCCUGCUGUUCUUCCCAUAAGGGAUGGAGGAAGCAAAUCUUUCACAAAUGUUCCUUUUUUCAUACUAGCAAAUGGAAGAACCAAACCAAUCCAAAUCUCACUUUUUAAGGGAAUUAAAUUUUGAGAUGAGGACAUUUAGCCUCAGCUCCAGGGUGACCUCUUCUUGGAAUGGCUCUGCACCACCCCCCAGAUCCCUCCGCUGCCCAGUUCUGAGCCCCAGGAGGCUGACCUCUGCAGAAUGUAUUACCCUGGUGCCCUGUCUGGUGGAUUUCUGGUUAAAUUCAGCCAACCUGCGAGACUGGUGGGAGAUUGGAGGGCAGGAAGAAAGAGAAAGAGUGGUUUAUAAAAUAAUGGUAUGUCUUUCAGUCAUUGACAUCCUAGAUUUGCGAAAUGUGACCAUAGGCCUUCCUUCACCCCCUACCUCCAUAUAAAAAAAGGCCCAUUUGAGACGUUCAGCUUUGAAGAGAAAAGGUUGUGUCCGGCAACUCCACCUCCAAUCAAUCAUUAGGACUUACUCCACACCCAGCACUGUUCUAGGAGCUGGCACUAGUGACCUAAUUCUUGAACUCAAUCAAUGUGCAGCUUCUUGGUCAGGUGCAAACAAUGCAAGAAGCUCAGGCGGAGGGGUGAGCUCUGGAGCAGGAACCUGGAGAGCAGGGUUCUAGGCUGAACUCUGCCCCAGGCAAGUCACUGUGCUUCUCAGGGCCUCAUCUGUAAAAUGAGGCAUUUAAACUAAACCUCUGAGGUCCCUUAUUACUUUUCUUCAUCCAUGGAAAUAAUUAACAAAAUAUAAUCAAAGUGAGGCAUUAAAGAAUGUAGCAGAGACAGUGCUUGUGUGCCUACCAAGUGGGUUCCUUUUCCUGCUGGCCAGGUAGCUCAGCCACAUGUCCUGGUGUCCCCAGUAGGUAAAUAGGGCCAGGUGACUGAUUCCUGGCGAAGGGAACAUGCUCAGAAACUUGGUGUGCUCCUCUCGGACCUGGCCCCUGAAACAUGCCGGUGAGAUCCUAGACUCUCCUUGCCCUUCCGUGGUGCCCUCAGAGGCCACAGACUGAAGAUGGCUCUGCCAUGAUGGAAAGUGCUUCAUUCCUGGGUCGUCUUCUGGGAAGAUGCUGCCCAACCUACGUGGACUGUGAUGUGAGCAAGAAUCACAUUACCAGCGUUUUAAGCUGCUCAGAUUUUGUUUUGUUUGUUUGAAUAAUUAGCCUACCCUGAAUAAACCAAAAAGCAAAAUAAGGGUUCAACAACAAUCCCUCAGACGUAGGAAAGAUCAGAGGAGAACACAUGGACCGAGGCCCUGCAGGCACAGACAAAGGAUAAGGGAGACAGUCCAGCUCUGGCAGGAGCACAAGGAUUCAGAAUUUGGAGAUUUGGAUGUGGUUUGUUCUGAGAGUUGGAGAUGAGUAUUUAGUGUAAUAACCCACCCGCACAUUCCUUCCCCACACACAUCCACCCCCAAAGAUCUCCAUCAUCCAAUAGUAUCACCAGGAAAUAUACAAAUAACUCUGAAUGGAUCCACCAAUGUGGCAACAAAACAUGCAUUACCCAUUACCGUAAAGGAGCUGAGGCGGAGGACAGCCUGAGUGCAUUGACCGUGCAGGUGCUGACAGUUAACACUCACCUGAGAUCAAUCUUCACUAAUAAAUCAGCCAUCCCAGACCAAGAAGAGGAGGCAAAGCAGGGCUUAGACGGGGUGGGUGAAAUCCCAUCUUGCCAGGGUUCUCCCAUGAAGGAGGCAGGACCUAAGACCCCCUCUGUGCUGUCAACAGGCCGCAUUAGCACCGGGGAGGAGAAGCCACAUCCACCAAGCACUGCUGGAGGCCCCACCCCCAAAGCUGGGUUCAUCCCAGAGCUGACUUCUCAUGCGGAGGAGAUGUGGAAACGUCAGGAACUUAACGCCCAGUUCUGGUUGAUGAUCACCUCCUGGGAUGGUUUGGUCAGCCACAACAAACGAGCAGAGUUUCUGGUUCUGUCACUCAAGGAAAAGAUUCCAGUGGAUGGCAGGAGGCCAAGUGACAAAGAAAGCGAAAGUCACAACGGGAAAGAUCCUCUGAGGCCGCACCGUGAAGAGGCCUGCACUGUGAGAGCCACAGGGGGAGUUCCCACAAGAUCAGAGAGAUUGGACCUCCUGGGAGAGUUCCGUCAUCCCUGGAGGCCUUCCCUUCCACGGGGGAGCUCUCUGUCCACGCAGCUGUGCCUGCAUUCCCCCACCUGCAGCGGGUUAGAGAGCCUAGGGACCCCUCCCCCACACCCCUCCGCUCAGCAAAACCAUCCAGGAAGCCUGGGAAGAAAGCCACUGCGUAAUGAAAAACGAAUGAAGGCCGUUAUACCUGAAUAAUAAUUAUUAAUUGAUGCCAGAGACAAAAUGUAGAAAUUACCGUCGUGACAUUUUUGUUGCCAAAACAAAGGAAACUGGUGGAGUCCAUAUUCCUUUUAAAUAGCAUACCUUUUAGGAUGCCCAACCAUCCUGGUUUGCCCAGGGUGUUCUGGUGCUCGCUUCUGCACAAACCAAGAUGGUUGGUGACCCUAGUUUUAGUUAACAUCAGGGUACCUGGUUUAGGAUGGUGUAAGGUAAAUGAUUAAGUUUUUUCAGACCUGGAUAGAAAAAUCUAACAGAGGAUUCCCUCCCUUAUCUUUAUCUAGAGAAAUAAAUGUAUUAAGGAAACCCCCUGUGAAUCAACUUAGCAGGUAGACCCAAAUGACUCUGAAGUCAGGCUUGAACCCUGGCUCCACCACCCACCAGCUGUGUGAACUUGGCAACUUAUCAUCGGUCUCUCUGGGUCUCAGUCUCUCUCUCUGUAAAGUGGAGAUGAUAGGAGAACUCAGAGGGUUUUUAAAUGAAUUAAAUGAGCUCAUACAUGUAAAAGGCUUAGAGCCGCACCUGGCACACAUAGUUAGCGCUUCAUAUGUCUUAGUCAUCAUCAAUCACUAUUAUUACCUCUUUUUUCAUAAGCC
ensembl:lncRNA